rnacentral:lncRNA from 1 species
CCAGGAGCAAGGUCUGGCCUGAGCCCACGGGGCCGUGGACAUUUCCAGAAGCGAACUCUGCCCUAGGCAGCAGGAGCCAGUCUAAUUAGGGAUUAGCUGCCGUCACCGUCCUUCGUUCCUGUCUCCCACACGGCCGGUUCACGGAGCACGUUCACAGGGGGCCGCCCCAGAGACGCUAAGAGCACCUGCUCCAUCCUUCUUUGCAAAGAAAAUUACUAAGCGCCCAUUUACGGUGGCCUGGACAGGUGCACCGGAGAGCGUCCCCAGAACGCGGCCCGGGAAAGACGAUGAGCCCCUUGGCAGGGCUGCUGUCGACCAUUCCAAGCUUCCGGCUUCCCGAUCCAGCGGGGCCCUCACUGCCCAGAUGUGCAAGCUGCUGAUCAAGCCUGGCCUUGUUCCUGGCCCCAUAAGGGGCAGCGGAAUGGGAGGAGUAGAAUCCACCUUACACUUUCUACCUGACGCCUGGAUGCUAUGGUUUCCCGGCAUCUCCUGGUCAUCAGUAUGUUCCAAAGUGAGUGAAAACACAUUCAUGAGAUUAAAGAUGUUCCACUCAUCUCCACAAACCGAUCUAAUGCUGUAUUUUUGACAUCAACCACCAGACAUGCCCAAGAAAUCAGAUAUUUGAGCUUCACUCUGGCUUCCUUGUCCAAAAUAGAUCCUGACAAACUUAUUUCAAGAAACU